AGUGGCGUGGCUUAGUGGCUAGAGCACGGGCCUGGUAGGCACAAGGACCAGGGUUCUAAUCCCAGCUCCGCCG
rnacentral:tRNA from 1 species